UACAGAGGUCUCGAGCGUUAGGCGGAAUCACUGGGCUUAAAGCGUGUGUAGGCGGAUCGUUAAGUGCCUUGUGAAAUCCCACGGCUCAACCGUGGAACUGCUUGGCAUACUGGCGGUCUUGAGCAACCUAGGGGCGAGCGGAACAAAUGGUGGAGCGGUGAAAUGCGUAGAUAUCAUUUGGAACGCCAAUGGUGAAAACAGCUCGCUGGGGGUUUGCUGACGCCGAGACACGAAAGCCAGGGGAGCAAACGGG
rnacentral:rRNA from 1 species